ensembl:snRNA U6 U6 spliceosomal RNA
GUGCUCUUUUCGGCAGCACAUAUACUAAAAUUGGAAUGAUAGAGAGGAUAUUACCAUGGCCCCUGAGCAAGGAUGACAUGCAAAUUCACGAAGGGUUCCAUAUUUUU